GACAAUCUUCAUUUCACUCUUAACUAGAGUUAUACAGCAGAGUAGGAGUAGGAAAAGUACCUGAGUUAAGGCAAAAUGAAGAGAAAGGAGUCAACAAUGAGAAACAAACAAUUAGCAGUUGAAGCCCAGUAGAAAAUCACUUUUAAAAACCCAGGCACUAAUGUCAAAUAAACCAGGACAUGAUUUCAGGCAAAUAACACCAGUAAAAAACACAAAAUAGCCUCGAUUGAACUCAAACACACUCGAAGUUAUCCCAGGAAACUCCAGAAACUUCAGCAAAUCAGACCCUAGGCUAAAUGAUGCAAAUCAAAC
rnacentral:lncRNA from 1 species